rnacentral:rRNA from 1 species
UACGUAGGGGGCGAGCGUUGUCCGGAAUUAUUGGGCGUAAAGAGCGUGUAGGCGGUUCGGUAAGUCUGCCGUGAAAACCUGGGGCUCAACCCCGGGCGUGCGGUGGAUACUGCCGGGCUAGAGGGUGGUAGAGGCGAGUGGAAUUCCCGGUGUAGCGGUGAAAUGCGCAGAUAUCAGGAGGAACACCAACGGCGAAGGCAGCUCGCUGGGACGGUACUGACGCUGAGGCGCGAAAGCGUGGGGAGCGAACAGG